UGGGAAUUUUGGACAAUGGGCGAAAGCCUGAUCCAGCAAUGCCGCGUGUGUGAAGAAGGCCUUCGGGUUGUAAAGCACUUUUGUCCGGAAAGAAAUCCUUGGCUCUAAUACAGUCGGGGGAUGACGGUACCGGAAGAAUAAGCACCGGCUAACUACGUGCCAGCAGCCGCGGUAAUACGUAGGGUGCAAGCGUUAAUCGGAAUUACUGGGCGUAAAGCGUGCGCAGGCGGUUUGCUAAGACCGAUGUGAAAUCCCCGGGCUCAACCUGGGAACUGCAUUGGUGACUGGCAGGCUAGAGUAUGGCAGAGGGGGGUAGAAUUCCACGUGUAGCAGUGAAAUGCGUAGAGAUGUGGAGGAAUACCGAUGGCGAAGGCAGCCCCCUGGGCCAAUACUGACGCUCAUGCACGAAAGCGUGGGGAGCAAACAGGAUUAGAUACCCUGGUAGUCCACGCCCUAAACGAUGUCAACUAGUUGUUGGGGAUUCAUUUCCUUAGUAACGUAGCUAACGCGUGAAGUUGACCGCCUGGGGAGUACGUCGCAAGAUUAAAACUUAAAUGAAUUGACGGGGUC
rnacentral:rRNA from 1 species